AUGUCUGAUCUUGAGAUGGACCGUCUCCUGAAUGAGAUGAGUGACCUUGUCGAUCAGGCUGAACAUCAAGCUCACCUCCAACAGCUCAUUAGCAUGCACCAGGAAGCAGAACCAUCCACCGGUCAGCCUUCCACCAGUAAUCCAUCCACCAGCCGGCCAUCAAAAAGCAAGCAAGACGUUAGGUGGAUUAAGAGGGACAGUGAUGGAAACAUUAUUUACGGCAGGCCCAGAUCAUCCCGGAAACAAGCAGCAGGUCCCAGUCACAGCCAGAGUCGAAAGACUGGUGUCUCUCAUAUCAGGGCUCCUGAAACCAGUGCGGAAAUGACCAGUGACUUUCCUUCCGUUACUGCAGAGUCCUUCCUUCAAGAGCUUAAAAGCUCACUGUUUGAGGAAAUACAUGAGGAUGAAACGGUACUUCAAGCCUCAACAGACUGGUCGACCCGAAAGAGCCUCAUAUCAGGGUGGUGGGAGAAAGAGAGACCCCGACUGGUCAACACCAUGGUGGCUGGACAACAUGCGGCAACUCGGAUCUGCCAACAUUGUGGAAAUGGUCCAGCCGUAAUCCGUUGUUGUGACUGCCGACCACACCCAUUCCUCUGUGGCCAGUGUGAUGUCAGGGUCCACCGAGGUCAAGUGUUCCACAACAGGGAUUCGAUGACACAUGCAUUCUUUCAUCCAUUGCCUCCCACAACUUGUGUUGUGGAGAGGGUUCUAACCCAGUGUGAGCGUCUUGUACCUUUGGAGAUGCCAGAGACAAUAUGCGGUUGUCUACGAGUAUCGUCCAGUGUCAUCGCAGGACAGUCCAUAGUUGUGGUUACAAUGAAUGGGCGAUAUGAUCUCAGAUUGCCUCAGAUUAGAUGCAAAGCAUGUGAAGCCACUUGGAGUCCUGGAGUGGAUGACCUGAUCCGUAAUGACUACUGGCCUGCCACUUCUCACUAUUCAACUGUGUAUGCAACAGAUGUCCUUUUUUCUUUUGAAGAGCUGAAGAUGGCAGCACCAGGGAUGUCUAGCCAAGCAUUUCUUAGAAUGCUGGAUCAACGCACUGUUCGAUUUGGCCGUGUAAGUAUUUGUGGUAAUAAUUGCGUAACUCCAUAAAUAAUACUAUGAGGGCAUGAUGAUGAUGAUAGUACACAUGAACAUUUGCACUGUUUAGGAAAAAAGUUGUGUUCAAUUUAGACCCUUUAUAAACAACCAUAAACUCAUGUUCUCUCAUCAGCAGUUUGCACUGAGACAUUUCCACAGGUAAUUCUGAAGAUCUCAACUUCUACUCCAUUGGCUACAGACUUUGACAUCUUCUCCCCAAUAUCAUUUCCUGAUCCCAGAAGUGUUCCCUUGGAUUAAUGGCCCAAACACUGCACAGGCUUACUUCUAAACAAUAUUGUAGCUGUUGUAGCCCUCUUUGUGUAAAGAUUUAAACUGAAUGUCAAACAAUAUCCUGUAUUUUUUUUAAUGGCCAGGUCCCCCAAAUACACCAGUGUAUAGUGUAUGAGUGAAGUCUACACAUUGUUUAUUUCCUUUGAUAUGUAUUCUAAGGAGUGGUUACGAAGUUAGUACAAACAUCCCAUAUGUAUCCAUUUAGAACAUUUUUACUUCAGUGUAGUAUAUUGUUUAAUUUGAUCCGUUUUACUGUUCUCUUUUGUUCUCUUUUACUGAACUCUUCUUUGAAACAGAGUGGAAACAUCACAGCAGACAGCUUCCGGAAAAAGCUUCUUGGAGUGGGAAGCUGUCCGAUUCGAAGUGGACAAAUUAUGCCAGGAGGACCACUUUGACUGCCCAGCGUGCAGCCCAGACAUGCUUGCAGUAUCCGUUGAUGGAAACCGUAAGCACUACAGAUUCAAGAGUGCAGCAAGGUACUGUGUGUGCAUUGACGGUCCAUUACUUUGAAAGUAACUGCUGUGAAUUGAAAAAUCAUAUGAAUAUUUAAAGUUAAUAUGUAUCUCUUUUUAUUUAGAUCGGAGGAAAAAAAGCCAUCUUUGAUGGCGUGUUCAUCGCAAAUGAUGAUGAUGUCGCAAGAUUCGUGGACUAUGUCCAUACCUCAACCAGUCAUGUAAACUUGCACAACUUCUCUAUAUUUACCUAUAAAAACACCACGUCCUACAGAGGACUUAGUUUGAACAAGUUUGGAAUGUUAAACAUCUUCCAUGUUUUAGGUCUCUGGAAGAGGUGUCUGUGGAGGGCAAUGGUCAGCGGCGCGUGAAACUUCUCAGAAGUCCUCAGGAAAAAAACAGACGAGGAGGGCCUGGAACUCGCUGUAUGUCGUCAUGGGGUUCUCCUUCGUGCCCUCAAUAUGUUCAGGGGGAGAUUUUUUUGCCUACCCCCUGUACCUCCAAAAGCAAAUGGCCUGUAAGCCAGUUAAAUUUUUUUUGCAAUGGAUGUGGCAUGCAAGUACUGGCCUUACCUCCAGAGAGUGACAGAGAAAUGCCCUGAGCUUGAGGAUCUCCUCACCAUGAGGCCAUUUCUUUCUGUUUUUCAUGCCAAAGCUCAUGAUUUCAAAUGUGAGGUAAGAAAAAAAUGAUUGUCCAUGAUAUUUUCUUUCCCUAAAAAUCCUGCAUAAGAUUGUUGCCACUUAGGUUUUGUUUUUUUGUUUUCUUUUUUUAAAAGGUAAAAUGGAGUGGAGCAUAUCAGGAGGGGGCUGGUUCGACUCUUGGGGAAGAGGUGGAGCAGUGCAACGCCUUCCUCUCGAGGAUUGCUGUUACGACAAAGCACAUGUCAAAAAGCAGGUAAGGUAACCAGUAAAUUUUGAUCCUGAUGACAUGGGUGAGCCACUUAUGCAUACAUGCUGACUCUGAAAAAUAUAAAGAUCAGAAUAUAUUAA
ensembl:lncRNA